rnacentral:rRNA from 1 species
UACGGGGGGUGCAAGCGUUAAUCGGAAUCACUGGGCGUAAAGGGUGCGUAGGCGGUGCAUUCGGUCUGUCGUGAAAUCCCCGGGCUCAACCUGGGAAUGGCGGUGGAAACCGGCGCACUAGAGUAUGGGAGAGGGUGAUGGAAUGCCAGGUGUAGCGGUGAAAUGCGUAGAGAUCUGGAGGAACAUCAGUGGCGAAGGCGGUAACCUGGCGCAAAACUGACGCUGAGGCGCGAAAGCGUGGGGAGCAAACAGG